UAUGGUGUGUUUCGGGUAAUGGCCCCACU
rnacentral:sRNA from 1 species